UACGAAGGGGGCUAGCGUUGCUCGGAAUCACUGGGCGUAAAGCGCACGUAGGCGGCUUUCUAAGUCAGGGGUGAAAUCCUGGAGCUCAACUCCAGAACUGCCUUUGAUACUGGAGAGCUUGAGUCCGGAAGAGGUGAGUGGAACUCCGAGUGUAGAGGUGAAAUUCGUAGAGAUCCGGAGGAACACCAGUGGCGAAGGCGGCUGGCUGGACCUGACCGUGACGC
rnacentral:rRNA from 1 species